GUGCUCGCUUUGGCAGCACAUAAAUUAAAAUUGGAACAAUACAAAGAUUAGCAUGGCCACUGCACAAGGAUGACAUGCAAAUUCACAAAGCACUCCAAAAAAAA
ensembl:snRNA U6 U6 spliceosomal RNA